CCAGACUCCUACGGGAGGCAGCAGUGGGGAAUAUUGCACAAUGGGGGGAACCCUGAUGCAGCGACGCCGCGUGAAGGAAGAAGUAUUUCGGUAUGUAAACUUCUAUCAGCAGGGAAGAAAAUGACGGUACCUGACUAAGAAGCCCCGGCUAACUACGUGCCAGCAGCCGCGGUAAUACGGAGGAUGCGAGCGUUAUCCGGAUUUAUUGGGUUUAAAGGGUGCGUAGGCGGUCCGGAAAGUCAGCGGUAAAAGCCGGGGGCUCACCCCCGGCGAGCCGUUGAAACUGUCGGACUAGAGACGGCGAGAAGUACGCGGAAUGCGCGGUGUAGCGGUGAAAUGCAUAGAUAUCGCGCAGAACUCCGAUUGCGAAGGCAGCGUACCGGCGCCGGACUGACGCUGAGGCACGAAAGCGUGGGUAUCGAACAGGAUUAGAUACCCGGGUAGC
rnacentral:rRNA from 1 species